rnacentral:rRNA from 1 species
GGGUCAGGAGGUUGGUCGUGCCACCGGUACGUACUGGUCUCACUGAUUCCUCCUUCCUGAAGAACCGUAAUGCCAUUAAUUUGGUGUUGCGGGGAAACAGGACUGUUACUUUGAAAAAAUUAGGGUGUUUAAAGCAAGCUAACGCUUGAAUACAUUAGCAUGGAAUAAUGAAAUAGGACGAUCGAUCCUAUUUUGUUGGUUUCUAGGAUUGACGUA